AUGAGUGGUUGUGAAUGAUGAAAUUAAUGUAUUGUCAAUUGUUAUAUGGGUUAGCAUUGAUACUUGAAAGUAUUGUUUCGGAUGUAAGGACUAUGAUCUAAAUAAGAAUGAUUACGUGUAGGAUUGAAAGAAGAAGGAGCUAGUUCCGGUUCACAAGCAAAGGCUCAAGAUCAAGGUAAAACUCAAGCAUAAAUGUCAUGCCUCGCUCGGAUACGAACACACCUUGAUCACCCUUGAUGCGCUUCCGCAACUUUUGUAGAAUCUUUAAUAGUUAAAAGCUUUUGUUAAAGUUAGUUGUGUUUGAAGUUUUUAAACUUUAACUAGAUGAUUGUGAAUAUUUUAAGUACCUUAAACUUGAUGUUUUGAACGGUAGUUUGAAAUGUUAUGGUCUUUCUUAUGUUUUA